GGUUAGUAAUGUCUGGGAAACUGCCUGAUGGAGGGGGAUAACUACUGGAAACGGUAGCUAAUACCGCAUAACGUCGCAGGACCAAAGAGGGGACCUUCGGGCCUCUUGCCAUCAGAUGUGCCCAGAUGGGAUUAGCUAGUAGGUGGGGUAACGGCUCACCUAGGCGACGAUCCCUAGCUGGUCUGAGAGGAUGACCAGCCACACUGGAACUGAGACACGGUCCAG
rnacentral:rRNA from 1 species